rnacentral:rRNA from 1 species
GCAGCCGCGGUAAUUCCAGCUCCAAUAGCGUAUAUUAAAGUUGUUGCAGUUAAAAAGCUCGUAGUUGAAUUUCGGGACCAAUUUGUUGGUCGUGCCUCGGUACGUACUGGUAUUAUUGGUUUCUCCCUUCUGAAGAACCUCGAUGCCAUUAAUUUGGUGUCGUGGGGAAUCAGGACUGUUACUUUGAAAAAAUUAGAGUGUUUAAAGCAAGCAUACGCUUGAAUACAUUAGCAUGGAAUAAUGAAAUAGGACGUUUGAUUCUAUUUUGUUGGUUUCUAGGAUCGACGUAAUGAUUAAUAGGGAUAGUUGGGGGCAUUAGUAUUCAAUUGUCAGAGGUGAAAUUCUUGGAUUUAUUGAAGACUAACUACUGCGAAAGCAUUUGCCAAGGAUGUUUUCAUUAAUCAAGAACGAAAGUUAGGGGAUCGAAGACGAUCAGAUACCGUCGUAGUCUUAACCAUAAACUAUGCCGACUAGGGAUCGGAUGAUGUUAAUUUUUUAAUGACUCAUUCGGCGCCUUACGGG